AUUGAACGCUGGCGGCAUGCCUUACACAUGCAAGUCGAACGGCAGCAUGAUCUAGCUUGCUAGAUUGAUGGCGAGUGGCGAACGGGUGAGUAAUACAUCGGAACGUGCCCUGUAGUGGGGGAUAACUAGUCGAAAGAUUAGCUAAUACCGCAUACGACCUGAGGGUGAAAGUGGGGGACCGCAAGGCCUCAUGCUAUAGGAGCGGCCGAUGUCUGAUUAGCUAGUUGGUGAGGUAAAGGCUCACCAAGGCGACGAUCAGUAGCUGGUCUGAGAAGACGAUCAGCCACACUGGGACUGAGACACGGCCCAGGCUCCUACGGGAGGCAGCAGUGGGGAAUUUUGGACAAUGGGCGAAAGCCUGAUCCAGCAAUGCCGCGUGUGUGAAGAAGGCCUUCGGGUUGUAAAGCACUUUUGUCCGGAAAGAAAUGGCUCUGGUUAAUACCUGGGGUCGAUGACGGUACCGGAAGAAUAAGGACCGGCUAACUACGUG
rnacentral:rRNA from 1 species